CUCGUGUGUGAAAUUUUGCCCUUUUGGUUUUUCCUGCAGUGUGCUGGUGAGGAGAACUAUGUGGACAGCCGGACGGUCUACAUCGGACACAAGGAGCCUCCCCCCGGAGCCGAUGCCUUCAUUCAGCAGAGAUUUCCCGACAACAGAAUAGUUUCCUGCAAGUACACGUUUUGGAACUUCAUCCCCAAGAACAUGUUCGAGCAGUUCCGGCGAGUCGCCAACUUUUACUUCCUCAUCAUUUUCCUGGUUCAGUUGAUUAUCGACACACCCACAAGUCCGGUCACGAGCGGUCUGCCUCUGUUCUUUGUCAUCACAGUCACAGCCAUUAAACAGGGGUACGAGGACUGGCUGAGGCACAAAGCGGACAAAGCUGUCAACCAGUGUCUGGUCACCGUGGUCCAGCGCGGGAAGAAGAUCAGCAAAGAGAGCUGCAGACUCACGGUUGGAGAUGUGGUCUAUGUGAAGGAAGACGAGACUUUUCCGUGCGACCUCAUCCUCCUCUCUUCAUCUCGAGAUGAUGGAACGUGCUACGUUACCACAGCCAGCUUGGAUGGAGAGAGCAGCCACAAGACCUAUUACGCCGUCCAGGACACCAAAGCCUUCACCACCGAGGAGGAGGUGGACUCCAUCCACGCCACCAUCGAAUGUGAACAACCGCAGCCGGACCUGUACAAAUUUGUCGGCCGCAUCAACAUCUAUACGGACAACGAGUCGGUUGCUAGGCCGCUGGGGUCGGAGAACGUCCUGCUCCGAGGAGCCACGCUCAAAAAUACCAAGUACAUCUAUGCUGUUGCCAUCUACACGGGAAUGGAAACCAAGAUGGCUCUCAACUACCAGUCCAAGUCCCAAAAACGAUCCGCCGUGGAAAAGUCCAUGAACUCCUACCUGGUGGUGUACCUGUGCAUCCUCAUCAGCAAAGCGCUCAUCAACACGGUGCUGAAGUACAUCUGGCAGGCUGACCCCAACAGAGACGAGCCCUGGUACAACGACAGGACGGAGACGGAGAGGCAAAGACACAUCCUGAUCAGGGCCUUCACCGACUUCCUGGCCUUCAUGGUCCUGUUCAACUACAUCAUUCCCGUCUCCAUGUACGUCACGGUGGAGAUGCAGAAGUUCCUGGGCUCCUACUUCAUCAUGUGGGACGACGACAUGCACGAGGAGGAGCUGGGCGAGAGGGCCGUGGUCAACACGUCUGACCUGAACGAGGAGCUGGGGCAGGUGGAGUACGUCUUUACGGACAAGACGGGGACUCUGACGGAGAACAACAUGGAGUUCAUAGAGUGCUGCGUGGACGGACAGAUCUACGACGCUGACGCCAUCUGUAACGGACAGGUAAUGCCCCGCCCACACCACAUAGACAUGAUCGACAUGUCUCCUGGACCGGGGGGCAGGGAGCGGAAGGAGCUGUUUUUCCGGGCCUUGUGUUUGUGCCACACGGUGCAGGUGAAGGAGGAGGAGACGGUGGACGGGAUCAAACAUGGCAUCCACCAGGGAAAGCCCUCCUCCUUCUACAUCUCCUCGUCGCCGGAUGAAGUCGCUCUAGUGGAGGGCAUGAAGAAGCUUGGUUAUACCUAUCUGAGGCUCAAAGACGGUCACAUGGAGAUCUUAAAUAAGGAGGACGAGAUUGAGAGGUUUGAACUUCUGGAGGUUUUGUCGUUCGACUCGGUCCGGAGGAGGAUGAGCGUCAUCGUCAGAGCCUGCUCCGGACCAGGUGACAUCUACCUGUUCUGCAAGGGCGCCGACUCCUCCAUCCUCCCCAGAGUGGUCUCAGGAAAGGUGGCUGAGGUGAAAGCUCGAGUGGAACACAACGCCGUGGAUGGCCUGAGGACUCUGUGUGUGGCCUAUCGGCCGCUGGCAGCCAGCAGGUCUGCAUGCUAUUUGUCAUUCAAACAUCAUUUGGGCUUUAAUGUUAGCAGAAAUACGGCACAUUUUAUUAGAAUAAAAAGUGAUUUAAAACGUGUUUUAUCUUGGUUUUUCAGGCUGCAGGACAAAGCGGCAGAUACCAUCGAGUCUCUCCACAAAGCGGGAAUGAAGGUGUGGGUUUUGACCGGAGACAAGAUGGAGACGGCGGCCGCCACCUGCUACGCCAGCAAGCUGUUCCGCCGCGGCACCCACAUCCUGGAGCUGACCACCAAACGGGUGGAGGAGCAGAACCUCCACGAUGUCCUGUUUGAACUGAGCAGGACGGUCCUCCGGCCCCCUGGGAGCAUGACGCGGGACCACUGCUCCAGUUUGUCGACUGACUGCACCGACUACGGGCUGAUCAUCGAUGGAGAGGACUCCAACUCGGGGAGUUACAAAGAGAUCUUUCUGGAAAUCUGUCGUAACUGCAGCGCCGUGCUCUGCUGUCGAAUGGCGCCGCUGCAGAAAGCUCAGAUUGUGAAAAUGAUUAAAACUUCCAAAGAGCAUCCGAUCACGCUGGCCAUCGGAGACGGCGCCAAUGAUGUCAGCAUGAUCCUGGAGGCCCACGUCGGCAUCGGCAUCAUGGGUAAAGAGGGGCGUCAGGCUGUGAGGAACAGCGACUACGCCAUCCCCAAGUUUAAGCACCUGAAGAAGAUGCUGCUCGUCCACGGACAUUAUUACUACAUCCGCAUCUCGGAGCUGGUUCAGUACUUCUUCUACAAGAAUGUUUGCUUCAUCUUCCCACAGUUCCUCUACCAGUUCUUCUGCGGCUUCUCCCAGCAGCCGCUGUACGACACCGCCUACCUGACGCUCUACAACAUCAGCUUCACGUCGCUGCCCAUCCUGGUGUACAGCCUGAUGGAGCAGCACAUCAACAUGGACAUCCUGAAGAAGGACCCCUCCCUCUAUAAAGAUAUUGCCAAGAACUCGUUGCUGAGAUGGCCCACCUUCAUAUACUGGACCGUUCUGGGGGUCUACGACGCCAUCGUCAUGUUUUUCGGCGCCUACUUCCUGUUCGAUAACACCACCUUCACCAGCAACGGACAGAUGUUUGGGAACUGGACGUUUGGGACGCUGGUCUUCACCGUGCUGGUCUUCACCGUCACCUUCAAGCUGGUCCUGGACACGCAUUACUGGACGUGGAUCAACCACUUCGUCAUCUGGGGGUCGCUGGUGUUCUUCGUGCUCUUCUCUCUGCUGUGGGGUGGAAUCAUCUGGCCGUUCCUCAACUACCAGAGGAUGUAUUACGUCUUCAUGCAGAUGCUGUCCAGCGGCCCGGCCUGGCUCAGCAUCAUCCUCCUCAUCACCGCCGGCCUGCUGCCAGACGUGGUGAAGAAGGUCAUCUGGAGGGCCAUGUGGCCCACCAUCACCGAGCGCAUACAGGUGAGUCCCGUCUGAACCGGCGGCGGCGGCGGCGGACGUUCACCCACGCUGACGUGUGCUGUGGCUCAGCAGGUGAACGCCGGGCCGUGCCGCGUCCUGGCGUUCCUGCACGUGAGUCGCUCCGCCCCUCCACGUGCGUGCGGUGCUCCUGUCUUCUCACAAACUCAAGAAUGGAUGUUUAUAGCCUCAAACCGGCAGGAUGUUUUAUUGAUGAAGAAAAUGAAUCAAAUGUGGCUCCGAUGUGGCGCCGGAGUAAAGACGAUCACAGGUGUCAAAGUCGAGGCCCGGGGGCCGGAUCCGGCCCUCCAGAUCCUUUUAUUUUAUCAAUGUCCCGAUGUUAG
ensembl:lncRNA